GGCGUGGGGCGGAGGGCUGAACUGAGGACCCUCAAAGAUCAGCUUAGGAAAUGCGCUUUAGUGGUCACUACAAGCAUGCAAGUUCUCAGGCGUGGAUUUGAAAGGAGUCAGGAAGCGGCCACAAGACAGGCAGGCAGUCGUCCGCAGGCUGGCGUCCAUGGGGACGGGGCCCCACCCCGGGAGGUGGCGAACGCCCCGUGGGCAGGAGCAGGCAGGAAUCGGCUAGCACUUUCUGUGAGGGACCAGGUAGUAAACACGUUCAGCGCUCUGGGUCUGUCUCCAGCUGGGCUUUGUUACUGCUCAGCUCUGCCACUGCAGUGGGAAAGCAACCACUGACAACAGUACGGACGGGUGUGGCCACGUUUGAUCCAAGUAAUGUAGCUGGCCGAUCUCUGAUAGGAGGGAUGAAACAGUCAGGUUUAUAUUAACAGUCAGAGUGAAACUGAACAUUAGGUGUAGAUCGGUAACUCUAAGCAAGAGUUCAUCCCACCCAAUCAAAGAUGCUGGGAGCUACUGAACACCCAGCACCGCCUCAUUACACCUGCUGCAGCUCUCCUGGGCAGGGAGCUCCAGUGACCCGCUGGCCGUGCAGCUGGCCCUCUGCUGAGUGGGCUCCUCGCUGGGGUCAUGCGGCUGAUGAAAACAGCACAUAGAAAUCUCCGUGGGCACCAGGGGAAAAGGCCCAGGUUUCGACAGUCCCACUGCAGCGUGAAACAUGAGUGAAUGACUCGAGCGGGUCCUGGAAGUGAGGCCGGAGGGCCCAGUCCCUUCUGAAUGACUCGGUUUUCCAGGGAGUGAGAAAAGGAUGCCAGGGGGGUACUAAGUCGAGCUUCAGGCCGACGGGGGUGGGCCGUGCAUGUCAGGAGCUAAGCAGAGCAUCAGCAGCGUGGUCUCUGUUCAAAGUGGGUGGUUUCCUUAUGUGGAUACCUGCUGGAGUGUGCUGUUUAAAACAACAAAAAAAAAGGUUAUGGAAGCGCAUUAUUCAUAAUACUGCAUCUAUAUAUACCAGUGCCCAACAUAUGCGCAUUCCUCUAUGUGUUUAUAUAUCCACUUUGUCGCUCGUUUGUUUUCCUUUUACUGCAAAUACAUUAUGUCUCCCAUUUUUGUUUUCUAAGUUAGCACAGAGCUCUGUGUGUUGAUGUUAAGGGUAAUUUUAGCUUUACAUUUGGUGAGGCCCGCCAGCACUGCGCUGGGGAUGACCCAGGUUGUCAUCCAAGGAGCUGGCAAGGAGAGGCAGUGAUUGCGGGAGUUUUCAGGGGAGGCAAAGGCCAGGGUUUGGGUUGUGUGUCUUUGAGUUUAUUUUAUAUCAUUUGGAAGUCUGUUUAUUCGUUUGUUUGCCUCUCUUUUCUUUUGAACAGUUUGCCUCAUUUCACAAAGAUGUUUUCGAAGUGGGCAGUUCUGUAGGGCGAGCACCCUUGUUCAGAGGCGUUAGGUGGAGCUGGUCACUGAGGGAAGACCCCGCUUGGUUCCUCGGCCCUUCCCCCACAGGGCAUCGUCCUCCAGCUUCCUGCCAGGUGGCCGUGUCAGAGCCGCAGAGCCGAAGCCGUUCCUCUCCUUUCACACCUCCAAGGCAUUUUCUCCAUCUUUUGCCGCAGCUUGGGCCCAUCUUUCCUCCGCCUCUUUGAGCUCCCCAAAGCUCCCAAAGCAAUGUGUCCAGGGCUGUGCAUACCAUAGGCGUAUGAGAUGCAUUGGGAGUGAGUGAAAAGAUUUUGAGCUGAGUGUGCAAAUGGAUGUGUGACUGAUAAGACAAAUAUGAAGCUGGAUUGUAAACAUAGUAGAAUGGAUUCCAAGCCUGGAUCCCAAGUCCUCCACCAGCCUUUUAUCCUUUAAGGGGUUCAAUGCCAGGGGAACUGAACUUGGAAAAAUACGAAGCAGAUGAGAAAUGAACUACUGUCCCAUGACCCAUUUGUCUGUGUUGGGCUUUUCUGUUGUACCAAAACGGAGCCCAUCACGGAGACUGGAAUCCAGUAAGAGUUCUCUCUCUCUUUCCUGCAUCUGAGCCAGUGAGGUCGUGAGCUUCAAAACCAGGGCUGCUCCCUGAGCUGAAGUGGGACCGAGAGUCCCUUCCCUGGGGCAGCACCGCAGGCAGUGAGAAGCCAGGUGGUGUGCUCGUCCCUACCCCACACUGGCCUGACUCGAUUCACACCAGCAAGCAAGGGCAGUGGGGGAGGGACAGGAGCUAUAACAAGAGAGAAUUGGAGAACCCAUGAUGUGGAUUUCUGUGCAUGAGAGGGCAAAGACGCUUGAGAUUUUCCUUUAGUAAAAAUGAGAAUGAAAGCAGUUGUGCUGGUGAGAAAAAUAACCUAUAAAUUAUGCCUGAAUAACUUCCCAAAUAAAUAUAAAUCAUACAAUUACAUAAAAUCAUUUAACUUUCAUUAUGUUAAUGUUAAUAAAUUUUAAUUUUCAGGUGUACAUGCCUAAAGGCCUGAGGCUCUUAAAGACGAUAAUCAAAAAGCUCAUUAAUCACAAAUAGGCAACUUUCCCAAAUAACUAGGAACAGUCACAAUUAAAAAAUAAUAUCUGCUCCACCAAGUAGAGUAAAAACACAGGCGUCAGGAGGAAGCUUCAUUUUAAGCCAUCCAGUGAAGGAGAAGAGUCUCAUUUCCUAAACCAGGUCAUGUUUCUAAACAUAUGUGGGGCAAGACUGAGGUCAGGGUCCUUUUAGAAAUGUUUGGGCCUAAAUGGGCCUGUCCUCUGUCUACCUCAUUAAAUUUGGCCUCCUCAGGCCCUUGAAUCUUGACUCAUGCAUCUGUUAUUUUAACUGUUUUUUCCAGAUUCCCGAGAUUUAGAAGUCAGAGAAAGCUUUCUUUCCUCCAAGCUCUCGCUGAGAACCCUGAAUGCAAUAGGGAGAGGUUCAGGAUCCUGACUGGUGAUACAGGAGUCAUCUCUUUCUAUAUGCGUGUUCAUUAUCAGAACUGUUUGCUAUUUCGAUUCGACAAGUUUCAGGCCAUCUCAGUGAACUGUUGCACCUCUUUCCUCUUUAGUGCUUCAUGAGAGACUAGCUAAAUGCUGAGCUACAGGCAGAAAGUGUUGCAUCUAUAGCAUCAUUCAGCUUAGCUACACAGCUGUGAAUGGGAUGUUAGCACUCCUUUAGUUUCCAUAGUAAGGAACCCAGCUAAAGCCGAAAAGUCGAUUUCAGUUGCUCUCAUAAAUGGGAGGUCCACAGAGUGGGCUGGCUUCUGAUACAGCUGGAUCCAGGUCACACAGAGCUAGCCAGAGACAGAGCCAGGCCUGGAAUUUACUCCUGAUGAUCUGUCUCCCAAGACAAUUCUGUUUCUGUUGUAGGGUGCUACCUUUCUACUAUCUGGGUCACUAUUAGCCUAGUGAUAAGUAAAAUGAAAGGAGGGUGUGUCUCCUCCUUGAAGUCACUCUCACAAUUUACUAUGAUUUUACCUCUGGGUACUUGCACAGUUCAUGUUCCUGAAGGAAACUACCCAAGGAUUUUGGGCUCCUUCAUGCAGGAGCACAUCACUGCUUUCUACCUAUUUACGUUCCACUUUGUGUCCUGAGCUAAGGUAGUUGAUUUGUGAACUCAUUCGUUAGCAUUACCUAGGUUCAGUGCUGGGCUCGGUAUUGCAAUGCAGACCCAAUAAAGGCACUGACAAUUGGAGUUAACGGACAGUUAGAACAGAAGGCCAGUUAGUAGGUGCUACAGACUUGGAUCCUCUCAGUUGUUCAUUCUUUUUAGCAUCUGAUAGGUGACAGUACGGAGUGCGUAUCCAGAAGCAUGGUAAGCAUAGUAGGGGCCGUAAAACAGUUGAACCCUGCGUCCCUUAUUGGAGUGCUGGGUUUGAUGCUGGUCUCUACUCCUGACUGCGGCUUCCUGCCAGUGCAGUCCCUGGGAGCAGCAGUGGCUGAGUCCCUGCCGUGCUGGUGGGAGACGGGGGGCUGUUGUGGAUAUUUGAGGAGUGAACCAGAAGACGGGAGCGCUCUCCAUCUCUGCUCACUCACUCCCCCAACCCAAGUAAUUUUUAAAAUUUUUUUAAAGAUAGAACAUAUGAGGGCAACUAGGGGAGCAGAAGGGGAGAGGUAGGCAGACUCGGGGACACUGCGGGGACCCUUGAAGGGUUUGAGGGAAGAAAGCGCUGUGGUCUGAUUUCCAUUCUAGGUGCUCCAGUUGUAGCUUUGUAGAUUGGGGUGGAGAUAGGGGGUGUGCAGACUGGAAAACCAGAUUGGAGCUGAGGGGAUGUUUCCUGGGGAGAGACAGCAGCCAUGGGGAUGGAGAGAAGCUGGAUUCAAGAGAGAAUCCAGGCCGGCACCGCGGCUCACUAGGCUAAUCCUCUGCCUGCGGCGCCGGCACACCGGGUUCUAGUCCCGGUCAGGGCGCCGGAUUCUGUCCCGGUUGCCCCUCUUCCAGGCCAGCUCUCUGCUGUGGCCCGGGAGUGCAGUGGAGGAUGGCCCAGGUGCUUGGGCCCUGCACCCCAUGGGAGACCAGGAUAAGUACCUGGCUCCUGCCAUCGGAUCAGCGCAGUGCGCCGGCUGCGGCGGCCAUUGGAGGGUGAACCAACGGCAAAGGAAGACCUUUCUCUCUGUCUCUCUCUCUCACUGUCCACUCUACCUGUCAAAAAUAAACAAAUAAAUAAAUAAAAAAGAGAGAAUCCAAAGUCAAAAUCAGCAAGACUUGGAGACUCCUUUGGGGGAGCGGACAGUCCCGACGAGGCAUCUGCGUGAAUGGCGAGAUCAUCAACGGAUAUCUCAGCUCUGGGGAGAGGAGCUGGGUUUGGACUGUGUUGUGUUCCUCUUACUUCCUGGAGCAGCACGGGGAUUGGGGAAGGAUUCGUCCUGACCCAGAAGGCCGUGGAAGGCCUCCCUGGGGAGGUGAUACUUAGCCCAAGACGGAAGGGAUGAUGGAGUAGAAGUUAGUAGUCAGUUUCUGGGUGACUCUGAAACUCCGUCUAGGGCACACAGCUUUUGUGAUCUGGGUGGCGCUUCCAACGCCCUUGACUCUGCCUCUUGGCCUCUGUUCCUGUGCUUUAGGGAGGCGGUGGGUGGGAAUCGUCAUGGUCACUGUUUAUUCAGUAGUUUGCAUCCUCAACCACAGAGAAGGAAUGCUGCGUGCUCAGGGCUGUGGUUAAGGUGACACUGAGGCCCUAUUUCCCAGGGUAGGGAAGGUCUUCCACACUGUUGCAAAUUCUGAAUGUUCUAGAAAAAAUGGUUUUAUUAGGUACAUUUUAGAUUUUCCUUUGUAAUCCAUUGAUUGGAUCAAAAUGUGCCAUUUAACCCCUGAGGGCACUUAUAGAAAAACACAGAACCCAGUAAAGUAGGAAGAAAAUAGAAAAUUAAUAUAAAAAUCAUGACAAGAAAACAUGCAAGGUAAAGGGAACGUAGGAAUAUCCCAGGUCUUUUGUGUUCUUUUCUUUUUUUUUUUUAAUAUUGUGUAUUGCAGAGUCACAAAUAUUUAAACUCUUAAACUAACGUGAUCUGCCAGCCAUCCAGCUAAAGCAAGUGUGUGGAUUAUAAUGAAAUAUUUUCCAACCAAGUACACAUCUCUAAUGGGGGGAAAUGAGCUGUAAAUGAACAUGAAAAAGAGAAUUCAUAGUCGUCUCGGGGAUGCGGGUCGCCCUAUCUUACAUUGCUGUUCUACAGUAGCAAUUGAGGGGUUGCCAGAUUUCAUCUGCUGCCUGGAGAGAACUGGCUCCACUUAGAAGUCUACACGUCUACGAAAAGCUGUUCUAAAUGUCUCAAAGUUUUUCUGUGUGAAUUUAAAAUUUGGAUAACCUGGGUUCCGGGAGUUGACCCCCACGAUGGCUGCCACUGUCCUUGCUGGAACUUAACCCUGCUUUCAGCUUGUGAAGUGACUUGCUGUGAGCGGCUGUAGCUACUGAAGCAUAUUUUUGGUGAAGCUGACACGAGUUCUAACUCUUUCCAGUGGUCCCGAUACAGCCUUGUGCUGACCUCCGUAGAUGUGUAGUCAUGAGGUUCAAAUGGUAUAUUGUCAGUCCUCCCCUGAAUGACGUCCGCUGCUUUUAAUUAGGGAUGUGUUCUGAUGUGUGUGUAUGUGGGGCACUGAUUUGCAAACAGUAAAAUUUAAAGAGGUUCAUCUGAUGGUAGUAACAAUUCUUCUGUAGUUUCAAAAAUAAGAAUACACAGUAGUGCUACUCACAGAUGAUAAAUGAAGCCUACUUGAAGUUCUGUGUCCUCGUCCAUACAAUUUCCUCAGGAGGGAAAGCCUCAUGGGAAAGAAAAUUCUAGGCCCUGGAGCCAGGCAGGGACUAUAUUAUAGCCGUUUAAUGGAACCGGGCCACUUUCAGGAAAAGAUAAUUGGUGCUAGAAACAGGAUUCAGCGUUUGAUUUUAUCUGUGUGUUGUCUACAUUGACAAUUUUCCAAGAUUCUUACCAGAUUUUAUACCUUCUAUGCGUUAAAUUUAAUGUGUAGCUUAGCAUGUCAUUUUAAAAUAAAAAUAGCAGAAAAAUAUUUGAAAGCAGAUUGUACUGAGUGACUUAGAGUCCUAUUAAUUACGUUUGGCACAGUGCUCGGCUUCUAGGCUCACGGCCUUACGUAUGCAAUUUCAUUUGCUGUCUGUGUCGGGUAAUUAAGCGUGAGCCUCUCCGUCUCAGCCACUUAGCGCGAGGGAAGCUUCAGUCUUGCUCUUGCAAAUGAGUCAGCAGGGCCAGGGACCGCUCCCUCUGGUGCUCAGCACUGCAGACCCUCCGGCCUGCAACACUGCAAUCCCCGUCCAGGUUCUGGCCUCAGGAGAGAGAAGCAAGGAGGUGUCCCACCGCUCUGUCACUUUUCACUUGUAUUUCACUGGACAGCACUAGUCACGUGGUCCUUUGGGAAUGCAGAAAGACUGGUAAGUGGACCAGAAAGGCCAGCACACAGAGAAUCUGUUGACCAAGUGCUUGGGCCCCUGCCACCCGUGUGGGAGACCUUGUGCAGUUCGGAGUUCCUGGCUUCAGCCUGGACCUACCCUGGCCAUUGCAGCCAUUUAGGAACCAGGGGAUAGAAAAUCGAUCUCUCUCCUUCUCCCUAUGCCUGUCAUUCUGCUUUUCAAAUAAAUAAAUCUUUGCAAAACAAAACAACACCAACGAAUGUUCUCAGCGCUACACAUUAUCUGUAAGUUUUUUAAAGAAAUACUCAUUUACUAGAGAAACAGCUCCAUUCACUGAUUGACUCCCUCAAUGCCUGCAGUGGCUGGGACCGGGCCUGGCCAAUGCCAGGAGCCAAGAACUCCGUGCAGGUGGCAGAACCCAGUUGUUCUGCCUCCCAGGGUCUGAACCAGCAGAGGCUGGAAUCAGGGGCUGGAGCUGGUUGCUGAGCCCAGCUACUCUGGUAAGGGAGGGGGCAUCUUAACCAGAAUCUUAACUACAAGGUUACACACCACCCCUCUAAUUUGUACAUGGAUUUUUUUUUUUAAAAAAGAUUUAUCUAUUUAUUAGAAAGGCAGAGCUACAGAGAAAGAGAGAGAGAGACAGAGACACAGCGAGACAGAGAGAUGGAUAGACAGAUCUUCAGUCCGUGGGUUUACUCCCCAAAUGGCUGCAAGGCCGAAGCUGAUCAAAGCCAGGGGCCAGGAGCUUCUUCUGGGUCUCCCAUGUGGCUGUGCUUCCUCCGCUUUCCAAGGCACAUUAGCAGGGAGCUGGGUUAGAAGUGGAGCAGCUGGAACCUGUGCCUGUACGGGAUCCCAGAGCCGCAGGCAGCAUGUUUAUCUGCUAAGCCACAGGGCCAGCCCCCACGUGGAUUUUAAUUACAAGUAUUAUUUGGUCCAUUGUGGGGAGCAACUCGGACUAGACUAAGUUACUGGAAUUAAGACUUAUUCUAUGCAUCUGCUCUCCCACAAUAUGGCGCUGGGAGAGAAGAAAACAGCUUCUACACAGCUGCCUCCAGUUCAGCCAAUAAACUGUAGGACUUGCUCCUGAUUGGAGGAGAGCAGCGUACUCGGCAUGUGGGCAGCCGAAUUGGGAUUGGCGGAGGAGGACUAUAAAGGAGGAGAGAGACGGCAUGCACCAGGAACAUCUAAGGGGAACAUCUAAGGGGAACGCCUGUGCAGCCCCCGAGAGAGCCGGCCGGCGGUGUGCCGCUCCCCUGCGGAAGUGGGGAAAGUGGCCAGGGGGAACUGCACUUCCACGGAGGUGGAAGGGACAGUAGCCAACCCGGGAAGAACCAGCAGCAAACCCGGGGAGGGCCGAGCAGACGAAAGAACAGCGCAGGGUCCUGUGUCGUUCCUCCACGAAGACGGGGAGCGACAUAAUGGUGCCGUGACUCGGAUAUGAAGCCUAGGCAGGGUUUAGUGUCGUUCCUCCAUGAAGAGGGGGAGCGACAUAAUGGUGCCGUGACUCGGAUAGGAAACCUAGGACGGAUAGGAAACUUAGGAGGGAAGAAACGGGAAGAAGCAGGAAAAUACCGGAGAGAGAGACUAGCGAAGAGCCUAGGGGAAAGCCGGACGAGAAAGGUGCCGGAAGAAGCUAUUGAAAGCCUAGGCAUAGACUUGGAUAUGGACUGUGGGAAAGAAGUUAGGAUUUGAAAGCGAAAGUGAAAGCUUUCAUAGACUCGGAUGCGGACUAUGGCGGGGAAGCUAGGAGACUGAAAGCGAAAGUGAAACCUGGAGGAGGCUUGGACUCGGAUACGGACUGUGGGGAGAAGCCAGGAGAAAUGAGAGGAAUAUUGUUGGAAGAAAACUUAAGGAAACAUACCGGGUAGAGAAAAAUGUUAGGGAGGAUGAAGCCGCGAGUGCAGGUCAAGGCGGAGACAUAAGCCACCUUGGAAUUCUUCAAGUCACCCCGGGGAGCAAGAGGCGAAGAUCUGGAACCAGAGGCAGAGACGUGGGCCGCCAGGUUGAAAUUCGCCAGGUUAGUCCGGGGAACUUGGACUGAAUGCCGGUGGUGGCGGAAACAUUCGCGGAAGCCGCCGCGUGCAGAGAGAGCACGGGGCGUGAAUAGAUAGGGAACGUGGGGCUGGCGCGAGGCCGUGGUGCGGGCGCAAAGUGCGUGGAGACCGCGGAGCGUGCGCGCAGAGCCGGGAACCCGCCGGCGGGGCGAGGCGCCGGGAAGCCGCGCAGAGCCGUGAAGCUGCCGCAGGGCGAGCGCCGCCGGGAAGCCGCAGGGAUAAGAGAAACAGAAGUUUAGAAGUAAAAUGAGAGAAAUGGGAAUGCUGGAAGAUGGAAGUAGAAUGGGAGAAAUAGGAAUGCCCGGACAUAGAGAAAUAGAGAAAUAGAAAGGCCUCCCCACAACAUGGCAAUGAGAAAGCUUGGAUUCGGUCUGCCUGAUUAGGGAGGCGGUGAGCACCUGCGGGCGGCUAGCAGCUUAUGCGCCGCAGGUCACCGAAGACAGGCACGAAUUAACAUCAGUAAGGCCUCCCCACAAUACCGCAAUUAGAAGGCUUGGAUUCGGUCUGCCCGAUUAGUGAGGCGAUGAGCACCUGCGGGCGGCUAGCAGCUUAUGCGCCGCAGGUCACCGAACACAGGCACGCAUCAGCGCCUAAAAACCUCCUCACAACAUGGCGAAGAGAGGACCCGGAUUCGGUUUGCCUGAUUGAUAGGACUUGUAAGAACCUGUGGCAACUCUAGCAAGCAGAGCAGAGUGUGUGCCGCGGGACACCGAAGACAGGCGUGUAUCAACGCCAAAAAAUAAAAAGAAAGGGGGAUCUGUGGGGAGCAGCUCGGACUGGACUAAGUUACUGGAAUUAAGACUUAUUCUAUGCAUCUGCUCUCCCACAAUAUGGCGCUGGGAGUGAAGAAAACAGCUUCUACACAACUGCCUCCAGUUCAACCAAUAAACUGUAGGACUUGCUCCUGAUUGGAGGAGAGCAGCAUGCUCGGCGUGUGGGCAGCCGAGUUGGGAUUGG